UACGUAGGGGGCGAGCGUUGUCCGGAUUUAUUGGGCGUAAAGAGCGUGUAGGCGGCCAGGUAGGUCCGUUGUGAAAACUCGAGGCUCAACCUCGAGACGUCGAUGGAAACCAUCUGGCUAGAGUCCGGAAGAGGAGAGUGGAAUUCCUGGUGUAGCGGUGAAAUGCGUAGAGAUCGGAAAGAACACCAACGGCGAAAGCACUCUGCUGGGCCGACACUGACACUGAGAGACGAAAGCUAGGGGAGCGAAUGGG
rnacentral:rRNA from 1 species